UACGUAGGGGGCUAGCGUUGCUCGGAAUCACUGGGCGUAAAGCGCACGUAGGCGGACUCUUAAGUCGGUGGUGAAAUCCUGGAGCUCAACUCCAGAACUGCCUUCGAUACUGGGAGUCUCGAGUCCGGGAGAGGUGAGUGGAACUGCGAGUGUAGAGGUGAAAUUCGUAGAUAUUCGCAAGAACACCAGUGGCGAAGGCGGCUCACUGGCCCGGUACUGACGCUGAGGUGCGAAAGCGUGGGGAGCAAACAGG
rnacentral:rRNA from 1 species